rnacentral:rRNA from 1 species
UACGUAGGUGGCAAGCGUUGUCUGGAAUUAUUGGGCGUAAAGCGCGCGCAGGCGGUCUCUUAAGUCUGAUGUGAAAUCCCGUGGCUUAACCACGGGCGGUCAUUGGAAACUGGGGGACUUGAGUGCAGAAGAGAAGAGCGGAAUUCCACGUGUAGCGGUGAAAUGCGUAGAGAUGUGGAGGAACACCAGUGGCGAAGGCGGCUCUUUGGUCUGUAACUGACGCUGAGGCGCGAAAGCGUGGGGAGCGAACAGG